rnacentral:rRNA from 3 species
UUUAUCAUUACGAUAGGUGUUAAGUGGAAGUGCAGUGAUGUAUGCAGCUGAGGCAUCCUAACAGACCGUUAGACUUGAAC